rnacentral:rRNA from 1 species
AGAGUUUGAUCCUGGCUCAGAACGAACGCUGGCGGCAGGCUUAACACAUGCAAGUCGAACGAGUAAGAGCCGUAGCAAUACGGAGUUCUGCUAGUGGCGCACGGGUGAGUAACGCGUGGGAAUAUGCCCUUUAGUACGGAAUAACAGUUGGAAACGACUGCUAAUACCGUAUACGCCCUUCGGGGGAAAGAUUUAUCGCUAAAGGAUUAGCCCGCGUGAGAUUAGGUAGUUGGUGGGGUAAUGGCCUACCAAGCCUACGAUCUCUAGCCGGUCUGAGAGGACGAUCGGCCACACUGGAACUGAGACACGGUCCAGACUCCUACGGGAGGCAGCAGUGGGGAAUAUUGGACAAUGGGCGAAAGCCUGAUCCAGCCAUGCCGCGUGAGUGAUGAAGGCCUUAGGGUUGUAAAGCUCUUUUGUCAGGGAAGAUAUUGACGGUACCUGAAGAAUAAGCACCGGCUAACUUCGUGCCAGCAGCCGCGGUAAUACGAAGGGUGCUAGCGUUGUUCGGAAUUACUGGGCGUAAAGCGCGCGCAGGCGGUCUAUCAAGUCAGAGGUGAAAUGCCGAAGCUCAACUUCGGAACUGCCUUUGAAACUGUUAGACUAGAAUAUGGGAGGGGAUAGCGGAAUUCCUAAUGUAGAGGUGAAAUUCGUAGAUAUUAGGAGGAACACCGGUGGCGAAGGCGGCUAUCUGGCCCAUUAUUGACGCUGAGGCGCGAAAGCGUGGGGAUCAAACAGGAUUAGAUACCCUGGUAGUCCACGCUGUAAACGAUGAGUGCUAGCUGUUGGGACCUUAGGUCUCAGUGGCGCAGCUAACGCAUUAAGCACUCCGCCUGGGGAGUACGGUCGCAAGAUUAAAACUCAAAGGAAUUGACGGGGACCCGCACAAGCGGUGGAGCAUGUGGUUUAAUUCGAGGCAACGCGAAGAACCUUACCAGGACUUGACAUGUCCAGUUUGGAUUUCAGAAAUGAUUUCCUUCAGUUUGGCUGGCUGGAACACAGGUGCUGCAUGGCUGUCGUCAGCUCGUGUCGUGAGAUGUUGGGUUAAGUCCCGCAACGAGCGCAACCCUCAUCUUUAGUUGCUACCAUUUAGUUGAGCACUCUAAAGAAACUGCCGGUGAUAAGCCGGAGGAAGGUGGGGAUGACGUCAAGUCUUCAUGGCCCUUAUGUCCUGGGCUACACACGUGCUACAAUGGCAGUGACAAUGCGCCGCUACCUCGCGAGGGGAAGCUAAUCGCAAAAAGCUGUCUCAGUUCGGAUUGUACUCUGCAACUCGAGUACAUGAAGUUGGAAUCGCUAGUAAUCGCGCAUCAGCAUGGCGCGGUGAAUACGUUCCCGGGUCUUGUACACACCGCCCGUCACACCAUGGGAGUUGGUUCUACCUUAAGCUGCUGUGCUAACCGCAAGGAGGCAGGCAACCACGGUAGGGUCAGUGACUGGGGUGAAGUCGUAACAAGGUA